CCCGGCUGUGGGCGCCCCCGCGCGGCCACCAUCAGAGCAGCACGCCACCGCCCCGGCUGCACCCAGGGGCCUGGAAGCCCAGCCCUGGGCAGAGGGAGGUCAGGGAAGUGAGGACCCUGAUCAAUGGGCCCAGCCAUUCCUCAUCUCUCCACACAUCCAUCACCCAUCCACGCACCGGGGCUCCUUCAGCUUACCCCCUCCAUCCUGCCACCUACCAGGGACACUGUCAGUGGUCAGUGGAAGCCUCUGGGUGUCCAUCCAUUGACGGUUACUUUUCCUCUAGCCCCUUGUGCCCAGGAACCCCUCUUGGCGUACAUCCCUCUGUCUUAUCUCAUUAGGUGCCUGUCCUGCCUCUCCUCUCCUUGCCUAUUUAGUAGCGAUGCAUCUAUCAGAACUCCGGAAUCAGUCCUUCCAGCUGCCCCUGUGUCUGUUGUCUCUGAAACUCUCUCCCUCCAUCAAUCUAUAUGUACCUACCCAUCUAUUACUCUGGCAGCCACCUAUACAUCAUGCGGGCCCCAUUAUCCAUCAUUUAUCUGCAUAUGUAUCAUUCAUGCUUCCACCUAUCUAUUAUCCAUAACCUCUCUUGCAGCCUCUUUGAUGUCCUGCACUCUGCCAUCAGGGUUAACGCUGUCAGGCCUGCUUUCCCCAGCCCCAGAGAACAAAGAGAUCAAAGGGACGUGGAAGGAACAGAGAGGCCACUGGGGGAUGGUUAAGAGAGCUAGGGGCUCAGAGUUGAAAAGAGAGUGGAAAGACCCAGAGAUGUGUCAGAUGAAGCUGUUUUGCUGAGAAUUCCAUUCAUUAUCUCAUUGUCCCUCUUCCCCCACCUCCCAAAAGAUCAAGAGGACCUGAGUUUGAUUUGCAGCAGGAGAGACACAAGUGGUACUUGUUGGCCGAAAAGGUGGUGCUCUUUGGAGGAAAGGCUGCUUGUGGCUGCAGUGUCUGUAUGGAGAUGGUCCAGGCUUAGCGAGUCAUGGGGCCAGGUAAAGAUGGAGAUGGAGCUGUAGACUGAGGCCAAGAAGGCCCCCACCACCAUGUGCACACGCGCACACACACACACACACACACACAUACACUUCCGUGCGCGCUCAUGCACGCAUGCAUUUCUGGGAUCACAGAAAUUUGCAGUCAGAAACGCUUUCCUUUGACUGAGGAAUUCUUACUUAGCCACGGCAGCACAAAUCCCUUGUGGGGUUGGUGUCUCGUGUUGCUUUUCUAAGCAUCACUCCUCAUGUUGUUGCUGAUAUUGUAUAGUUUCCCCUGAGCACGGUUUCCUGGAGGAACUGGUAGACCGUGGCUCCUUUGUGCCUCUGGUUUCCCCACAUCCCGUUUCCUGAGUGGAAACCUCUCUCCACGGCCCCCUUCUCUCCCCAUGCCCUGCUCAUGCUCGCACAAAAGCAGAAGGGCCUGGGGACACACUGGGCAUGGCUCUGUCGUGUCCAUUUCUGUAUCCCAAUUAUUAGCACAACAGCCAGCAGGAAGGAGGCCUUGUAUGAGGCCAGAUACAGGGCGGAAACUUCACUCACAGUUCUGCCCUGUCCAAAAGAGACCCGGCAGGGGUCAGAUAGCUCCAGCAGUGCCACCUUAUCCUCAGGGCACUGCCCUUAGCUCCAGACUCCUGAAUGGGCCUAUGAAAGAUGCUGUCACUUUUGCAACUUUCCUCAAAGGUUCUGGGCAAGGGGACACCUCAGGGCUGUGUUUCCAGGGGAGGCUGAUGUGAGGGCCAGGUAUUCUGGGGAUGGUUUCUCAGCCCACUAACUUCAGACAAGGAGGAGAACACACCUGUUCUUCCUACUGGACAGGAAACCAAACAACUCUGCUUCCUAAGUUGCCUUGGUUUCUGGGGUUAUUGGCAUCCGAGUUUGCCAGGAGUGGAAGGCCUGGGACAGGAGAGGCAGGGGCUGGCAGGCCUCCCUCUUCACAGCUCCAAGGGUUAAAAAGCACUUAGCAGCAGCAUAUAAUAAAAGCAAAUGUAAGAGAAAGAAUAUCCUAAGGAUUUAAUAAACUGCAAACAAAAUUAUCACGAUUCUUUUCCUAGCCAGUUGAGUUUUCAGUGAUUAAGAAAAUACAAUUUCCUGUAAUUAAAUCUUAACAAGAAAUGUUAUUAAAAACACUCUGUCCCAGCUCCUGUCAUAAUUGCAUGCUCCCCUAGAACAGUAAACAGAAUUAGACUUUGCAGCGUACAUGCUAAUCCAUGUGUCAUUUUGAUCAAAUUUGUACUAAUAACCUGUCUUCUUAUUCUGAGAUGAGGAAGGCAGGGAAGAGGGAGCCAGGCCCAGAGGGCAAAACUGAGCCCUGGCUGGGGAGUGGGAGCUGCGAGUGUUGGGUUUGGCCCCCAGGAUGAUAAGUGUUGAACUUACUGAGCACAUAUGCACACUGGGCUCUGUGCUAAACAGGUUACACAUAUAACUUCACAUAUUCCUUACACAACCUCACAUAAUGUUGUUAUGCUCAUUUUACAGACGAGAAGACUGAGGCUCAGAGAGGUUUGGUAACUUGCCCAAGGUCACUCAGAGUCAUCUAGAUCUAAGGCCCCAGAGUGUGGCUAUGGGGCUAUUCUAGGGCACGGGCUGUCAGGUGAGAACAUUCUCUGUCCUGGAGAACUGGACUGGCCUGACGGUAGCUGGCAGGAAGAACUUCCCUCUGCCAGGAUGUGCUGGCCACAGAAGCAAGGGAGACUGUGGCAUCCACUUUGAGAAGUUUCUUUUCCUUUGAAAAAAGCCACAGGGUGGGAGAGGACAUUGUGGAGGGGCUGAGGGUGAGAGCAGAGGGCUGGGGUUUGUAUGGUGCAGGGUUCUGUUCAUGGCCCUGGGGUAGACCUGAGAUGAGCAUUCUAGCACAGUUAAGAGGGAUCGGCGUGGGUGUGGAGCCCUGGAGUUCAAAACUGCUGCCCCCACACAUGCGUGUGUAUGUCAGUGUGUGUGUGAAUGUAUGUGAGUGCAUGAGUAUAUGUGUGAGCAUGUAGGCAAGUGUGUGAGUUCACCACUGACCCUGUGUAUGAGUGUGUAAGUGCAUGAAUGUGUGUGAGUCAUUGUGAGCAUGUGUGUGAAUGCAGGCAUAGGAGUGUGUGAAUGUGUCUGUGACUGAGUGUGUAUGUGAGCACAUAACUGGGUGAUGUGGUUGUAUGCGGAUGUCUGUGUGAGUGUGUGACUAUGUGUAAAGGUGUGAGAGUGGAAGUGUAUGAAUUGGGUACAUGUCAAUGUGUGCAUGUGCAUGAGUGUGUGACUAUAAGGGUGAGCAUGUGAGCAUGGAUGUUAGCAUGGGUGUGCCCCUGGAGCCCCAGUCUGCUGGCGCUGAUGGAGGGGCAGAGCCAGGCCAGCAUGCGGGCCCUGGCUGUUUUCCUACUCACAGCAGCCCCCUCCCCACAGCUUCAUUCCCUGCGGAAAGUGAGCCUGAAAUUAUCCUCAGCUCGCACGCUCCUGCACGCACACAGGCGCCAGUGCCUCCAUCUCCCACUCCCGGUCCACUAAUUAGCUCUUCUAAUUAAAUCCCUGCUGGGUUGGACAGGGAGGGCCUUCUCUUUUCCGGAUCCUCUGAGGACCAGGUCAUGCUGACCUAGAAGGCUCCACCCACUAUCCCCAUUCCCAUUCCACAGCCCCUGCUCCUGCUCAGAGGAGCCUGGAUCCAGGGAAGAGACAGAGGAGGAGGGGACCCCUAUGGGUAGGAGUCCUGUUCAGCAAACACAAAACACCUACUAUGUGCCCAGUACUGUGCAAAGCUUUCUGGGGAAGGAGGUGGAGAUGACAAAUGGGCAAGACCCAGGGGCUCCCCAUUCUGAGCUUCCUUCUCCCAAUCACUCUGGCUCCGAACCUUGAUCUCAUCCUCCACUCUUGUCCCUUCUGGUACCCCCAGGCAGCAACCUGCCGCCUCCACCUUAUCUCCUCGCUUCUCUACAGAGAGUUCCUCUUUGACCAGACGGCCUAUGCAUUGGGCCAGCUGAGCCCUAGAUCAUUCCUCCUUUAUCAAAGUUUUAAUCCUCUCUGAGGUCCCGUGCACUCACCUCGCAGCUCUCUUGGGAGCCCUUCCUGACUGCUGCGUUUCCUCCCGUCUGCUGGGGCCAGCUCCGGGCCUUGGCGUAUGCCGCCUGCUUCCCUUUUUAUAGGCUCCACCUGCCUCACUAAACAUCUUUAAGCCUCUGAAAUCAGAGGCCGUGUCUUGUGCCUCUUAACCCUUUACUGAGCCCAGCACAUUGUGAGUACUCUAAGAAUGUCUACGGAGUGACUGACGAACCAGGAAGAUGGAGGAGAUGGGUUCCUGCACUCCCUGUGCUCGCCCCUGGAGAGCUCCUGUGAUAUGGAAGAGAAUCCCAGGCUCCUGGAUCUCAGCGUGGACAAGACUUAGCUGUCACCUUGUCUAACUUCUCCCUUCGAGCAGAGCCUGCCACGGGAAUUCUUUGCAAGUGACUUAUUGUCUCUCAGUGUGCCUCUUAUUGUGUAAGAGUGAAGGGGUCAGGAUAGGCCGGGGGCAAGCUGAGCGAGGACGAGGCCUGAGCCGGCGGGAGGCUCUGGACCAUGGACAGCAUCACAGAGUCGGCCCCUGGAGGCAAGAGGGCGGCUUCUUAUUCCCCGCAUCAGGCAGUCACCGGCUGCCAGGAGCCGGGGUCGGGGAGGAGCGGAGCCUCUCCAGAAUCAGGGCAAGGUGGCUGAGAGCAGUUCUCUAGAAAAGGGGGCUGCUGUGAGCUGUUAGCAGCAGAUGCCGAUUUUGGGGCCUGGUAAGGGGGUGUGGGCGAGCCCCAAGAGCAUCCACCACAUCCCCACCCAGAAUGUACUUUGUACUAGUCGUGGUUCCUGAGCCUGUCCGAGAAGAGCGGGGAAGAAGGAUAGAAGGGUCUCUUGUCUUCAGUGCCAGCCCAUGGGGCACCACAAGAUGCCACUCAGGAGAGGUUUCGCCUCAAUCUUGCACUGAAUUAUCAUCUGUCAAAUGCGUGAACACAUCCUGUGGCUUAGUCUGUAAGGCUGCUAUAAUAAAAAUCCCAUAAACUGGGUAGCUCAAUAAGCAACAGAAAUUUAUUUCUCACAGUCUUGGAUGCUGGGAAGUUCAAGAUUAAGGCGCCAGCAAAUUUGAUGUCUGGUGAGGGCCCUCUUCCUCAUAGAUGGCACCUUCUAGCUAUGUCCCCAACUGGAAGAAGG
rnacentral:lncRNA from 1 species